rnacentral:tRNA from 1 species
GGCUCCAUAGUGUAGUGGUUAGCAUGUCUGCUUUACAUGCAGAAGGUCUGAGUUCGCACCCCAGAUGGAGCCA